UACGAAGGCCCCGAGCGUUAUCCGGAUUUAUUGGGCGUAAAGCGUUCACAGGCGGUUUCAUAAGUCACUGGUUAAAUCCCACAGCUCAACUGUGGGGCCGCUGGUGAAACUGUGAGACUUGAGGUUGGAAGAGGCAAGCGGAACUACCGGUGUAGUGGUGGAAUGCGUAGAUAUCGGGAGGAACACCAGUGGCGAAGGCGGUUGCCUGGAGCUUUGCUGACGCUGAGGCGCGAAAGCGUGGGGAGCGAUCCGG
rnacentral:rRNA from 1 species